rnacentral:rRNA from 1 species
UACGUAGGGUGCAAGCGUUGUCCGGAAUUAUUGGGCGUAAAGAGCUCGUAGGCGGUCUGUCGCGUCUGCUGUGAAAACUCGGGGCUUAACCCCGGGCCUGCAGUGGGUACGGGCAGACUAGAGUGCGGUAGGGGAGACUGGAAUUCCUGGUGUAGCGGUGAAAUGCGCAGAUAUCAGGAGGAACACCGGUGGCGAAGGCGGGUCUCUGGGCCGUAACUGACGCUGAGGAGCGAAAGCGGUGGGUAGCAAACAGG